CCCUUAGAUGUUCUGGGCCGCACACGCGCUACACUGAAGGAGGCAGCGUGUACUCCUGGAUCGAAAGAUUUGGGUAACCCGCGAAUCUCCUUCGUGCUAGGGAUUGAGGUUUGCAAUUAUCCUUCAUGAACGAGGAAUUCCCAGUAAGUGCAAGUCAUAAGCUUGCGCUGACUACGUCCCUGCCCUUUGUACACACCACCCGUCGCUACUACCGAUUGAAUGAUUUAGUGAGGACUUCGGACUGGGACCGAUGCGGCUUUCGGGCUGCGUCGGUAUUCUGGAAAGAUGUCCAAACUGUAUCAUUUAGAGGAAGUAAAANUCGUANCA
rnacentral:rRNA from 1 species